rnacentral:rRNA from 1 species
GGAGCUUGCUCCACCGGAAAAAGAAGAGUGGCGAACGGGUGAGUAACACGUGGGUAACCUGCCCAUCAGAAGGGGAUAACACUUGGAAACAGGUGCUAAUACCGUAUAACAAUCGAAACCGCAUGGUUUUGAUUUGAAAGGCGCUUUCGGGUGUCGCUGAUGGAUGGACCCGCGGUGCAUUAGCUAGUUGGUGAGGUAACGGCUCACCAAGGCCACGAUGCAUAGCCGACCUGAGAGGGUGAUCGGCCACAUUGGGACUGAGACACGGCCCAAACUCCUACGGGAGGCAGCAGUAGGGAAUCUUCGGCAAUGGACGAAAGUCUGACCGAGCAACGCCGCGUGAGUGAAGAAGGUUUUCGGAUCGUAAAACUCUGUUGUUAGAGAAGAACAAGGAUGAGAGUAACUGUUCAUCCCUUGACGGUAUCUAACCAGAAAGCCACGGCUAACUACGUGCCAGCAGCCGCGGUAAUACGUAGGUGGCAAGCGUUGUCCGGAUUUAUUGGGCGUAAAGCGAGCGCAGGCGGUUUCUUAAGUCUGAUGUGAAAGCCCCCGGCUCAACCGGGGAGGGUCAUUGGAAACUGGGAGACUUGAGUGCAGAAGAGGAGAGUGGAAUUCCAUGUGUAGCGGUGAAAUGCGUAGAUAUAUGGAGGAACACCAGUGGCGAAGGCGGCUCUCUGGUCUGUAACUGACGCUGAGGCUCGAAAGCGUGGGGAGCAAACAGGAUUAGAUACCCUGGUAGUCCACGCCGUAAACGAUGAGUGCUAAGUGUUGGAGGGUUUCCGCCCUUCAGUGCUGCAGCUAACGCAUUAAGCACUCCGCCUGGGGAGUACGACCGCAAGGUUGAAACUCAAAGGAAUUGACGGGGGCCCGCACAAGCGGUGGAGCAUGUGGUUUAAUUCGAAGCAACGCGAAGAACCUUACCAGGUCUUGACAUCCUUUGACCACUCUAGAGAUAGAGCUUCCCCUUCGGGGGCAAAGUGACAGGUGGUGCAUGGUUGUCGUCAGCUCGUGUCGUGAGAUGUUGGGUUAAGUCCCGCAACGAGCGCAACCCUUAUUGUUAGUUGCCAUCAUUUAGUUGGGCACUCUAGCAAGACUGCCGGUGACAAACCGGAGGAAGGUGGGGAUGACGUCAAAUCAUCAUGCCCCUUAUGACCUGGGCUACACACGUGCUACAAUGGGAAGUACAACGAGUCGCGAAGUCGCGAGGCUAAGCUAAUCUCUUAAAGCUUCUCUCAGUUCGGAUUGUAGGCUGCAACUCGCCUACAUGAAGCCGGAAUCGCUAGUAAUCGCGGAUCAGCACGCCGCGGUGAAUACGUUCCCGGGCCUUGUACACACCGCCCGUCACACCACGAGAGU